rnacentral:rRNA from 1 species
AUUGAACGCUGGCGGCAGGCCUAACACAUGCAAGUCGAGCGGAUGAAGGGAGCUUGCUCCUGGAUUCAGCGGCGGACGGGUGAGUAAUGCCUAGGAAUCUGCCUGGUAGUGGGGGAUAACGUCCGGAAACGGGCGCUAAUACCGCAUACGUCCUGAGGGAGAAAGUGGGGGAUCUUCGGACCUCACGCUAUCAGAUGAGCCUAGGUCGGAUUAGCUAGUUUGUGGGGUAAAGGCCUACCAAGGCGACGAUCCGUAACUGGUCUGAGAGGAUGAUCAGUCACACUGGAACUGGAACACGGUCCAGACUCCUACGGGAGGCAGCGGUGGGGAAUAUUGGACAAUGGGAGAAAGCCUGAUCCAGCCAUGCCGCGUGUGUGAAGAAGGUCUUCGGAUUGUAAAGCAAUUUAAGUUGGGAGGAAGGGCAGUAAGUUAAUACCUUGCUGUUUUGACGUUACCAACAGAAUAAGCACCGGCUAACUUCGUG